UACGUAGGGGGCAAGCGUUGUCCGGAUUUAUUGGGCGUAAAGAGCGUGUAGGCGGCCAAGCAGGUCCGCUGUGAAAACUCGAGGCUCAACCUCGAGACGUCGGUGGAAACCGUUUGGCUAGAGUCCGGAAGAGGAGAGUGGAAUUCCCGGUGUAGCGGUGAAAUGACGCAGAUAUCGGGAAGAACACCCGUGGCGAAGGCGGCUCUCUGGGACGGUACUGACGCGUGAGACGCGAAAGCGUGGGGAGCAACAGGG
rnacentral:rRNA from 1 species